rnacentral:rRNA from 1 species
GUUGUAUGGUUAAGUGACUAAGCGUACACGGUGGAUGCCUUGGCAGUCAGAGGCGAUGAAGGACGUACUAACUUGCGAUAAGCGGUGAUGAGGCAGUAAGAGCCACUUGAGUCACCGAUUUCCGAAUGGGGAAACCCACUGGCAUAAGCCAGUAUCGCUGCAUGAAUACAUAGUGCAGCGAAGCGAACCGGGAGAACUGAAACAUCUAAGUACCCCGAGGAAAAGAAAUCAACCGAGAUUCCGAAAGUAGCGGCGAGCGAAAUUGGAUUAGCCCUUAAGCUUUACAUGCGUUAGACGAAUGGUCUGGAAAGGCCAACGAUACCGGGUGAUAGUCCCGUAGUUAUAGGCGCAUGUUCAGUGAAAUCGAGUAGGGCGGGACACGUGUUAUCCUGUCUGAAUAUGGGGGGACCAUCCUCCAAGGCUAAAUACUCCUGACUGAC